rnacentral:rRNA from 1 species
CCUACGGGUGGCUGCAGUCGAGAAUCAUUCACAAUGGGGGAAACCCUGAUGGGGCGACGCCGCGUGGGGGAAUGAAGGUCUCCGGAUUGUAAACCCCGGUCAUGGGGGAGAAAAUUAAAAAGAUAGAACAACAAGAGGAAGAGACGGCUCACGCUGUGCCAGCAGCCGCGGUAAGACAGAGGUCUCAAGCGUUGUUCGGAAUGACUGGGCGUACCGCGUGCGUAGGCUGUUUCGUAAGGCGUGUGUGAAAGGCGCGGGCUCACCCCGCGGACGGCACCUGAUACUGCGAGACUAGAGUACUGGAGGGGCAACCGGCAUUCUCGGUGUAGCCGU